rnacentral:rRNA from 1 species
GGCUAACUACGUGCCAGCAGCCGCGGUAAUACGUAGGGGGCGAGCGUUGUCCGGAAUUAUUGGGCGUAAAGGGUUCGCAGGCGGUUCCUUAAGUCAGAUGUUAAAUGCAUAGGCUCAACCUAUGAGUGCAUUUGAAACUGGGGAACUUGAGUUAAGGAGAGGAAAGUGGAAUUCCUAGUGUAGCGGUGAAAUGCGUAGAUAUUAGGAGGAAUACCAGUGGCGAAGGCGACUUUCUGGACUUAAACUGACGCUGAGGAACGAAAGCAUGGGGAGCAAACAGGAUUAGAUACCCUGGUAGUC